GUGUGACAGCUGUUCCAACUGUCACACAGAGACAGGAAUGUUUCCUCUGGCCCGGAAGCUGAAAUCAUACAGAUGAGCUCCAGCUGAUGGCUGUCAAACUUCAUCAGCGGGUCGUUCCAUUUUUUUUGCCAGAGGAAGGGGAAAUUUUGCCUUUAGUUUAUUUAAUUUUACCAUUUCUUUAAUGUAUCUUCUUUUUGUAACUUAGUUAAAUAGUAAUAUUUCUUUAAUUUAAAGAUUUAGUUAUGUGCUGACCAGUAUUUGUUUAAGUUCUUGUGUGUUUAACUACCCCCUGUGUGUGAAUUAGCAGUGGUCUGAUCAGCCACUAUUUAAGUUCCCCCUCAUGUCUCGUUUGUUAGGUCAGUUUUGUGCUUGAGUUCUUUGUGUUACUACCUGAGUUGUAGUUUGUUAUGUUGACCUCAGUUUUUGGGCCCCAAUUUAUCAUUUUUGAAUAUAUUUUGAAUUUUUGUAAUAAAUUAAGAAUAUAUUUUUGAAAAUUCA